UAGCACCAACCUUUCCUUCCCUGCAUACUCUCUCGCGGGUUGUGAAAGAGAAUUUUGUGAUGGGUAACUGUUAACUAAUACUUCCUUGUGAACUUACAUUAUCCUCCUGCCCUCUAGCCAAAAAGUAAAAUAAACAAAACACAUCUUGAAAAUGGGAUUAUCCAGAUACAGUGAUGCACAAGAAAAAUAUUGGUAUUUUAUUUUCAUUAUUUCAUUGUUUGGUACCAAUAGUGUGCUACGUGUUUAACAGACAAGAUACCUGGUCCAAAAAGCUAAUAAACUAAACAGAUCAAACAUGGGAGAUAGCAUACAUCAAAAAGUAAAAUGACUAAGCACUGUUGUAUAGAACGUACGUUUGUUUCGUUGGUUCCAUAUUAUUUUGACAUAAUUCUUUGAGGGGAGAACAUAGGUUUGUAGCUAUAUGACAAGACUUGUCUUUUAAAAGUGAGAAGCAUAGAAGGAGAUGGAGAGGGUUGGUAUUUCCAGUAUUUAAAAAAAAAAAAAAAAUCAGUACAGGAUAGGUUCAAAAACUUUCAGGAGGCAAAGGUAUCAAACUUCUCUAUAGUGUAACAAAUUAAACGGUAAAUAUAGUCGUGUAUGGAUAUGAGAGAGUAAGAAACACUCACAGAGCUUAAAAAGAAUUUGACAUCAGAGAACCUCCAAACAUGUUAUGACUAUAAGAAUCAAUGCAAGCACUUUAAGUAUGUUCUGCCAUGAUUUUACCCUGGAAGGGAAAAGACAUACAGAAAGUGCCCAACACACUGUGGGCGGCAUAUUGACAAGUGUCACGGAUGAGUGCAACUCCACUGUUGGGAGAACGGUGACUCCAUGAAGCCGGAGUCACACCCAAGUGGACACAUGGCAGUAGAAAAACUAAAGAAGGCAAAUCAGUUGAGCAACUAAGGAGUGCAACCACUGUCUUGGGGACCAUGUUGCCAAAUGAAACUCUCUCCAUUCCCUCCAUCAAUGGGAGAGAAGCGAGGGCAAAAGAAAGGAGCAUGAAUCCCUCCUGUCCAGCAAUGAAUUCGUGAAAGCAGAACUCUGUCCUGACCCCAAAUGGCCCAGCAUUGAAGCAAGACAUCCAUCCUUAUCUUUCUACAUGGAACUUCCUCCAUUAAAUCAUGUUUAAAUCAGGAAGAAAUACAAUGUGUCUCUACAUGA